rnacentral:rRNA from 1 species
GACGAACGCUGGCGGCGUGCUUAACACAUGCAAGUCGAACGGUGAAGCGCCUUCCUUUUUGGUGGGUGUGGAUGAGUGGCGAACGGGUGAGUAACACGUGAGUAACCUGCCCCCUUCUUCUGGAUAACCGCAUGAAAGUGUGGCUAAUACGGGAUAUUCUGGGUCUGUCGCAUGAUGGGUCUGGGAAAGAUAUUGUUUCGGUGGGGGAUGGGCUCGCGGCCUAUCAGCUUGUUGGUGGGGUGAUGGCCUACCAAGGCGGUGACGGGUAGCCGGCCUGAGAGGGUGGACGGUCACACUGGGACUGAGACACGGCCCAGACUCCUACGGGUGGCAGCAGGGGGGAAUAUAGCACAAUGGGCGCAAGCCUGAUGCAGCGACGCCGCGUGAGGGAUGGAGGCCGUCGGGUUGUGAUCCUCUUUCGCCAGUGAAGCAGGCCUGCCUCGUUUGUGGGUGGGUUGACGGUAGCUGGAUAAGAAGCGCCGGCUAACUACGUG